rnacentral:rRNA from 1 species
CGGGUUUCACUCCAAACCCAAUGUGAACGUUACCAAACUGUUGCCUCGGCGGGAUCUCUGCCCCGGGUGCGUCGCAGCCCCGGACCAAGGCGCCCGCCGGAGGACCAACCAAAACUCUUAUUGUAUACCCCCUCGCGGGUUUUUUUAUAAUCUGAGCCUUCUCGGCGCCUCUCGUAGGCGUUUCGAAAAUGAAUCAAAACUUUCAACAACGGAUCUCUUGGUUCUGGCAUCGAUGAAGAACGCAGCGAAAUGCGAUAAGUAAUGUGAAUUGCAGAAUUCAGUGAAUCAUCGAAUCUUUGAACGCACAUUGCGCCCGCCAGUAUUCUGGCGGGCAUGCCUGUCCGAGCGUCAUUUCAACCCUCGAACCCCUCCGGGGGGUCGGCGUUGGGGAUCGGCCCUGCCUUGGCGGUGGCCGUCUCCGAAAUACAGUGGCGGUCUCGCCGCAGCCUCUCCUGCGCAGUAGUUUGCACACUCGCAUCGGGAGCGCGGCGCGUCCACAGCCGUUAAACACCCAACUUCUGAAAUGUUGACCUCGGAUCAGGUAGGAAUACCCGCUGAACUUAAGCAUAUCAAUAAGCCGGAGGAA